AGGAGGAACAGCAACAGAGGCGGCGGCCAGCUCUGGAGCCCUGGAGUCAGCUCCCGCAGUGGCUACAGAGCUCUCAGUCCGCAGGAGCCUGGAUGCUCCAGGGGCGG
rnacentral:pre_miRNA from 1 species